GAGUGUUAUUUGGAAUUUGUCUAGCAGGUUUUCACUGCAAAAACCCCA
rnacentral:snRNA from 1 species